AAAAGAAAAAGAAUAAUAAAAAGGAAAAUGUCAGUUUACAUUCUGCAAAACUACUUUUUUAAGAAAACAAAGACAGCUGGGUUUUGGCAGUCAGCAUUAAAUGCAACUGUUGUGUUGCUGUGCAUCAUCUCAGGACAGAAAAGUAUUAUAUAAUGCUUGUAGUUAAUGUAUUCUACUUAUGUCAGUCAGUAAGUGAUAGCAUGUCCUAUCUAAUUAAAUCCAGAUUUCAUGUGCAUCUCUUUGUUUGCUUACUGUGCAAAUAAUGGAAGCUAACAUUAAAGUAUUAAAAUCAGAUAAAAUUGCAUUUCAUAUUAAUACAGUGUGUGGAAAUGUAUAAUUUAAAAUAUAUCUUAUGAAAUGUAAUCUCUUUUACAUAUUGCAUACAGCUCUGAUAUUGAUCAAGAUAUUCCCGGGAGUGUAUGAUGAGAGGAGAAAUGGAGUAUGUUAUCCUUCCUCUAGGGAUAAGCUAGCUUAUUGCUGAUCUCUCACACUGCUUCUUUGAAUUAAACUGGUUCUUGUUUGGUUUGUUUUCUUGUUGUUGUUUAAGGAAGGUUAGUUUCAAAAAGGACUAUCAGAAUUAACUUCUCUCUAGUCAGAUAUUUUGCAGAGCAGUAGGUGGGCAAUCUGUGGCCUCUUCAGCUCUGUCCAUUUUCUGGUCCCACUGGGAUCAAUUCCUAAGACAGACUUUGCUUUAUUUUCCCACUUUCAGACAAACAAAGGCCCAGGGGAGCCAGCACUGUCUCGCUGACAAAGGCACAGAGUGGCUGGACUCGGUUUGAGGGCUGCCCUCGGCAAGGGGAGGGCGCUGUGAUGUGCUGCAGAACAGACAAGUUACUGCCUCUGAGUAGGGAGCACCUGCACACCUUGGAUGGACAGGUCAUGUUGUAGCUGCACUUUACCUUUGCUUGCAGUUUGAAAAUUCAGCCAGUUUAGAGACAGAAGAGGCUUUAAAUUACCUUCCUGAACACUGUGUCUUUCAGAUGGGUUCACACGUCAUUCACAUUGGUGUAAAUCCUCUGAAGCCAAUGGCAAUUGUGCUGGGCACAAAUGCAGUAUGAAUGAGGUCCUGUAUCACAUGUAGGGUCUUCUCUUUUUUGGAAUCUACCAUGCCAACAUUACCUAUUUGUGACUAAGAAUUUGCUUUUUAAAUUAUGAUUUUUUUUUACAGAAAUAUUCAAACAUAAUCGUCCUGUGCUACCUACACACACGUUUGUAAUCGAAAGUCUUUAAAAUCCUUCAGUCUUGUUCCUGUAAAUAUCUAUAUAGGUAUACUUGAGGCAGGCACUAUUAAAAUUAAGAAGUACUUUCAAAUUUAAGAGACACUAUAGGAUUAGAGCCUUACAUUUUAAUAUCCAACAUCAAUGCUUCAAAGAAAUUUAUUCAAACUUGUACAUCAGCAAUAUGUAAAGUGGCAGGUGUCCUCCUACAUAGCUAUCUGGUGUCUGGGGACCAAAAGCAAAAAUUAGUGAUAUAGGAAUCUGAAAACUGAAAUUAAAAAUGCAUUCACAAAAAGAUGACAUGAACAUUGCCUAUGUCACUGGAACAAUAACUAUUAUAGUUUUUCAGUUUUUUUGCUUUUUCAUUAAACCGGCAGUUAAAAAUGUUCAAAGAACAACAUUAUCUGAAAAAAAAAAAACCCUUAACUUUUUUCAUUCAGUGUUAUGUUUUCCUUUAGAGAAGCAAAAUUGUUUGCCAAAUGUGAGAUGAUUUCUUUGUUUAAAUCCUGACUGGCAGGAAAAAAAAAAUCUGCUCUCUGCUAAAAUUAUCUAAUUUUGUAGCUGUCUCAAGGAUGUGUCUCCUUUUAUCAGAUGAUGCCCUUUCUUCCUGGUUAGUGGAAUACUCACUGCACUCCACAAACAGUCACUUUGCAUUAUGUAGAUUAUUUUCCAAGAGAAGUGAAGAAGCAGGCUUUUGACAAUGAUGGAAACAACGAAGCAUGAAGAAAUCAGAGAAGAUCAAAGGUGCUCAUUAGUUUAGACGAUGGUUUGGUCAUUCAGAAUGCAUGUUUGCUUUGAACAUCAUUAUUCUAACUAAUGGAAGAAACUUCUUACUGUAUUGGCCCAGAGACAAAUCUAUUAGCACAAAGGAUAUUCCAGAAGUAAGUAAAGCCAACAGUAAACACCAGAGGCUUUUCCAGUGAAUGGGUGGAGAGAACACAGCCUUCCCACCAGAGAUCCAGCCAACACUUCAAAAGCUUCCACUCCCAGUUCCGUAUCAGCCACAUGCUGUGGGCUCAGGACUUCUAAAAAAAGACUAAGACGUGGAGAAAGACAAUCAAGCAAACAGGACUGGCAGUGCCCAGCAUAAGGUUGAGAAGCUGUGAUGCAGCACAGGAAAACUACAGAGCAACUUUGAGUGAUGACUUUAACCAACUCUUUGACCUUAACUCAGUCUUUUUAAUUAUUGUGAUUUUCUUUCUGUUUAUUGUGGGUUUUUUCAGAAUGUAUCUGCACUUUACAAAUGCUCCGUUUGCUUCAGUAGAAAGAGACAAAACAAACAAGCGAAAAACCAAGCCAAAAGUACAACCCCAAAGCUUGAAACUACGUAUUAGAUGGAGGAACGGCCAAAUUCCUCUUGCUCAGACUUCUCUCUUAUUCCCAGCCCUGUAUUCAGAAGGGAAAAAGCAAAAAAAAGUUGGCCUUGUUUCUAUGGUGCUUCAUCCAACCCUACCAACCCAACCAAAGCCUGGUAGUGUCUACACAUAUACCCAGGCAAUGUACCAGCCCCUACAGCUGGUCGGGUCUGCCAAUAAGCCCAUAUUCCUAGGGAGCUGCUGGAAGUGCUGUGCAAACCAGGUCCGGACACUCAGUCUGCCUUCCCCCAGGAAAGGGUAUAGUUCCUGUUGAAGUGAAAGACAAACUAUUUUCACAACCAGCUUCAUAAUAUGUCCGUAUUAUCUAUAAAAAAGUUGGAAGAUUUAUAAUACUUUCUUUAGUAGUAAAGUACAAAGGGGAAUGAAAAGCCACUUUUUGUUUCUUUGGUCUCUUUAUGAUCUGAAACCAGCAUCUGCCAAACAGGUUAUCAUUCACAUGUACAAAUUAGCUAUACUGCAAGAUUGAAAAAUUAAUUAAACCAUUGUUUAUUCAAUUACAUGCUGUGUCCCUUCUCUACCUAGAUAAACAAACUGAAUAAACUUCUGAAAGCUCUUA